AAAUCUCGUAUUAAUCGCCUUCAAGUCUAUAUAAACUUGUCGAGGUGAGCAUAGGAGAGCGAAAGGAACGAGAAAUGGGCCAAAAACGGAGAAAAUGGGCCAAUGUACGAAAUCAACACGGCUUGGACUUCCUCACACGGGCAGACUACACGGCAGUGUCAAUUUGGCAGAAUCGAAGCAUGACUUACAUGGGUAGAACACACGCUCGUGCCAUUCUAACAUGUUCGAGUACGGCCUGCAGUAGUCACACGCAGGCGUGUCCCUGCCGAGGCCAAGUUGAGUCCAAUUCGGAAAAGGCUAAUUUUGAGGACUUUUAGGCAUUCUAAAGCCUAUAAAUACACCUGAAGGAAGAGGAAAGGGGCGGAGAAAAGGAGGCAGGGAACUACUCAAGGGAAGCCGAUUGAUCCAUCUCGGAAGUCGAAUUCACCAUCAAGACUGAAAAUUUACCCUCAAUUUCCCUUUAAGAGCUUUGGGUUUUCUUUAUGUUUUGUAUUCAUUAUUCUUCUGAGAUGUUUUCCUUUUUAGUUAUGAACUAAAUCCCCUAAAUACCUAAGGGGAAUGAAACCUAAGACGAAUCUUGUUAUUAUUUUCUGAAUUGUAUGAUAAAUAUUUAACUUAUUCUUAA